rnacentral:lncRNA from 1 species
GCGCAACGGAUGCAGCUGGCCGCGGGGGAUCGCAGCUGGACGCGGUGGCCGUGGAGGAUCAACGAUGGACGCGGAGGCCACCCAGCAGGUCUCCAACGUCGGCAGCCGGCGGCCCAGCAGGUUACGUCAAAAGCCUAGAAGGUCUCCAACGAAGUUUUUAUUUUUAUUUUUUUGGGUUCGUUGCUGAUUAGAUCGUGCGUGAUCUCGCGGCUUCGUUCGUGUUGGUCUCUCGCGAGUCUUGAGAUGGAUGGUAGGGGUUGAGAAGCCUGGCUUCCCGCAUCCAAUCGUGGCCUUUGAUUUUAAUUACAGUACUUUAUUAACCCUUGAUUUUAAUGGAGAUGAAUUAUUGUGUGCAUUAUUCUGUGUACACAAUGGUUGAGGACUCUCAGUAGGAGACGUUUUACUGGGUGGACCAAAUAUAAUUUAAGUAUUCGAUUACAGUAGAGAUGAUGUGAUGACAAAACUAAAUGAAGUGUAUGCAUGAAUGAUUCAAAGUAAACAUGCAGUGGUAUGCAAGAAAAUAAAAAUAUAACUACUCUUAAGGUUUAAAGCCCAUGAGUAAGACUAUGUCACUUUGAUCACACUUACCAUGAUGCACAACUGGGAUG